ACAAAGAAAAUAAAUGUGUGUAUUCGUCACGCUCCACAAAAGCAGGCUCGAAAGAUGGCUCCCGGUUGAGAAGAAAAACGACGGUAGAUCGAGGGCUCGCAAGCAGGCAACGUUUAUCUGUCCAACUAUCUCGUACAUAUACGUCAAAACAGACAAUAAAGCAUUGCGAGAAAUCUCUCGUGUACAAAACUCGACUCUCGUCUAUGCGAGGACGCAAACACUCGCGAUUCGUGACACGGCCUCGAGCAGAGAGCUUCGAGCGAGUGUAUGACCGAUAUGAAAAAAGAACAGAUGAUUAGAUAUUAUACAUCAAGAGCACUCUACGAUGUUCAAGAUAAGUAUGAAAUUAAGGACACAUCUCGUGUUUACGAAGUUUGUAAGUGGAUCUUCUCGAUUCUUAUCGUUGUUUGAUUUUCAAGUCUUCAAAACACCGUCACACGUUCCUCUCAUAUAUUUCGUUAAACUUUGUCGAUUUAAGAUUUAUUUUGUUUUGAAGAUCAUUUUUAUUAGAUUUCGAGCGACGCUUUUUUUCAUACUUAUUUCUUCGCAUCAAUUUUUAGCAUUGACUCAUUGUAACUCGAUUAGUUCGUACAAUAUUUUCGUCAUAAACUCGGUAUUUUUUCAACUCUUUUUGGGGAAGGUUGUUCGGAAAACGUCUUAUUCGCCCGAUCAUACAUGUGCUGAGAAUGUUCGAAAAAAUUCAUCAUUAAAUACAACACGAAAGAGACACGCGGGCUUUUUCUCGGAACACCGUUUUCAUAGCCGAGGAACGUGAUAUCUGAAGAACCACUCGAUCGAUGCUCUUCAAAUUUCCAGGAGAUGCGAUGGAACCAUUCGAAGGUCAUUAGCGAUCACACUUUUCACAAUCGAUCGGCAUUUCUCAGAAGUUACGUCAAAAUGGCGAGUUUUGUCGUGGAUUUUAUGUGUGCUCGAAUUCCAAUCGCUUCGCUACGGUGAAAAUAAAUAUUCUAGGAAUCGAGGAUCAGCGAUGACUCGCGUAAGCCGAAAGGUUUUUGAACUUCGAAUGAAUCGAUCAAGUCGCAAACUGUCAAACGGAACUCGGACGAAAAGGAAGGAAGAUAACUGGAAUUGAAUCGACGCGUCCAUUUACGUUUUGCGGACUCAAAAUCAUUUGAAUGAGCGUACGAAUUCUCAUCGUCGAAACGAAAGUAAAUUCGAGGAAUGAGACGCGCGAAAACUAUUGAAUUACGACGAAUAACCAGGAGGCAUUAAUUACUUUUGUAAUUAACAUCUCGCUGGAUAAUCCGCGUUAAAUCCGCGUCGGCCGGCGAGAUAUUCGAUUUUCUCGCACGUUAUAAUUCGAUAUCUACGUGCAAUGGUGAUAACUCGUCUACUUACGGCUACUUUGGACGACAUGAUUGCAUAUAAACAAAACUAUGUGACGUUCUCGAUCGAGAAUAACGAAUAAACUGAAAGAGUCCUAAGAGCGAGUUGACUUUAUAAAUCGGAGUCAUUUCAACCUUGACCUCGAGUCGAUCUUAAAACGCGUAUAUAAAAAUUCAUAGUGGCUUAUCUCACGCUGAUGUAUCCUGCGCUUGGAACGUCGGAAGAGGAAGAAAUUCUAAACUGUCGCCGAGUAUUUCGAUCGUCCCAAAUAAUGAUCCUGAACGCCUUUCGUAACAACUUUUGCGUUGCAGAAUACAAUAAUUGCCCUGAGGCCCUUAAUCACUUUGUGAUGAAAUUGACCGUCCUCCAAGAUUCGAUGAAUUUGAGGGAGGAUUCCACGAAGACAAAAAUGGAGAAAUGAAAUUAGCAGAAAAUAAACUUUCCAUUUACGAAAUGCGUGCGAGAUGCAACAGCGAAGAUGCGCACGUGCUGUAAAUCUCAUAAAUUUAAAAAACCACGACUAUUUGUGGAGGUCUGUUGUCUUCCAUAUCGUAAUCGCGAUUGACGAUCUAUCGAGAUUCUCGAUUCUCGGGAUACGCGUCGAGAAGUCUGCGUGAAACGAUUGGAAUAUGCCUGUGACGGGAUGGCACGUGAAUAAAAAUAUGAAGGAAGGAUUUUUCUCCACGAUAACACUCGUAUGAAGGAACCUUUUGUUCGCUCGAUGUCAAUCGACGUUUUUGUAAAUGAAAAAUUCAUUAAAAUCUCAAUAGCAACGAAAGCAAUAAAAGCUUCAAGUUCAAAACGAGAUUUCAAAGUCUCAUUAAAAUUAUCAUAAUCGUGGGGAGUUUCAAAGCUGAAUGCUCCAGUGUUUCACAACGCGAUGAUAAAAAGAAGUAACGAAAUAAAUGCCCCAAUUAAUUGCUCUCGUGACAGAUAUAGAGUAUCGAAAUUCCGUGCAUGGAAAAAAGCGAAACUUCUCUCAAGCUUCCUCCGCAAUUGAAUCCAAUUGACUCUGCUGCCGCGGUCACCUUUGAGUUUGUCUAAACGAUACAAAGAGCCUGCCGUUAUUUCACUAAUGAAAGGUAACAACCGGUAGGACGUUUCGUCGCGUCGUAAAAUUCGAAUAACAACGAAAAUGCACGUCCGUGCUUCCAUCCAAUUUCGUCUCCCCCGCCACGAUCUUUGAAUUAUUGCGAAAAAUACUUUCACGAUAACGAAGUUUCUAACGCGAAGAAUAUUGAUAAGAAUGAUGUUGCAUCACUCAUACGUAAUCGUGUUGGGUUAUGAAAAACCAUAUUUGUGUCAAUAGUAUAAUAAUAACAAUGAUUAUCAUUCUCAGUUGCACACUCUUCGGAAAAAACCUUUAUUUCGUUUUAUGCUGACGUUCAACGAUUUUUCAUCAAACUGACCAAACAGUUUCACUCGAUUUUUCUUUUCUCCAAGACUUUUUAUUAUUGAGGCUCUACUAAAAUCAGAUUUUCAAAACUCCCGAAUCGGACUGAAAUCUCAACAUUCUUCAGUUUUCAAAACUUCACGAAAAUUUAUUUGAAAUGAUAAUAAUUCGAAAAAGUUACCCAAAAUAUUUUCUGAUCAAUGAUUUUAUCAAUGGAAUUCUUAAAGUAAAAAAAUUGCAUAAAUUUUUUGAGCCAGUGAUUUGUGAAUAAAUUACUACUGGAAAGUAAGGAAAAAGGUUAAUUUAGAAAGUAUGAAAAAAUUCAAAAGCAUUACAAGAAAUUAACAAAUUAGUUGCAUACGACAGAAAAAUAUUUUCAGUCAGUUUCUCGUCCAAUAAUUUUUCUCAAUAAUUUAUAAAUGACUCGUUGGGAGUUGUAUCAUCGCAUAUCGUUGUUGGCAAAAGAUAUUGAGAAGUUUGACUUGUUAACGAGUCAUUGCUCCGAGACAGCGAUGUCUAAUUCUGUAGGAAUUUCAUUGUGGCAAAUGUGGAUCAAUAUAUUUCAUGAAAACUUUAUUUUACAAGGAAUAAAGAUGCGUGACAUGCAUUUUCAUUUGCUUGAAAGUGAUUGGAUAGUUUUUAAUCGAAAAAUGGAAAAUUGAAUACGAAACGAGAGGAUUUGCGUAAGUUGUAUUUUUCUGGGUUUGUGUAACUUUCUUCAACAGAUAAAAACAAAUAAACAUUUGAUAAGAGCACAA